rnacentral:tRNA from 1 species
AAAGCUCUAGUAGCACAGCGGAUAGUGCAGCAGUUUCCUAAACUGCAGGUCGGGAGUUCGAAUCUCUCCUNNCUUUU